rnacentral:lncRNA from 1 species
CGGGCCCUGAACUAACAAACAUGCCCCUGUCUCUGCUUGCUGAGUGCUGAGAUAAAAGGCAUCCCAACACUCCAGCCUACUGACAAUGUCUGAGUUCCAGACUGUUCUCUGUUACCUGCCUCAUGAUCAUGGAGGAGGAAAUACCUACAAAGGGGGGCAUAGUGCAAAAGAGCUUUUUCAGCAAAAUCUCCAAGAGAUUCAGAUGCAGAUACACUGGUCUCUGCUCCUAAGUGGAAUCUCCUCCUCACACGGCCCAUUCAUGCCGAGUCACAACCCAGCCCUUACCUUGACCCAGGCCCUUCUUGUUCAGUGGCCCACUUGAGUGGUCAAGGUCUGUGGGUUCUGAUCGGCCUCUAGCUCUGCCACCCCAUCUUUCCAGGCACAUUGCAGUGCUGAGAAAGGGCAUGGAUAUCUAUCUGUAGGGGCUUAGGGAGGAGGUGCCAGUUGUCUAUGAAUACAGUGUCAAUGCUGCCACACUAAUGUUCUCUCCAAAGGACCAGGGAAGCAGACAGAAUCCUGCAUGCACGUGAAUGCACACUACAGAAAGCCAGGGCAGAAGAGAAAAGUGCUACCACAUGCCAACUCCUGGGAGAUGAGGGGCUCCAUGCCUGCUGUUUCAGACACAUCACCUUCAGAGACUCCCAAGGGCAAGACCUUGGAACCACUUUCGACCCAGGAAGUCUGCUGAGCCUCUCUCUCUACUUAUCC